rnacentral:rRNA from 1 species
AUUGAACGCUGGCGGCAGGCUUAACACAUGCAAGUCGAGCGGGGUGAUGGUGCUUGCACUAUCACUUAGCGGCGGACGGGUGAGUAAUGCUUAGGAAUCUGCCUAUUAGUGGGGGACAACAUCCCGAAAGGGAUGCUAAUACCGCAUACGUCCUACGGGAGAAAGCAGGGGAUCACUUGUGACCUUGCGCUACUAGAUGAGCCUAAGUCGGAUUAGGUAUUUGGUGGGGUAAAGGCCUACCAAGGCGAGGAUCUGUAGCGGGUCUGAGAGGAUGAUCCGCCACACUGGGACUGAGACACGGCCCAGACUCCUACGGGAGGCAGCAGUGGGGAAUAUUGGACAAUGGGGGGAACCCUGAUCCAGCCAUGCCGCGUGUGUGAAGAAGGCCUUAUGGUUGUAAAGCACUUUAAGCGAGGAGGAGGCUCUUUUGGUUAAUACCCAAGAUGAGUGGACGUUACUCGCAGAAUAAGCACCGGCUAACUCUGUGCCAGCAGCCGCGGUAA